CGGGGUGGAGUAACGCGUGGAUAACCUGCCUCACACUGGGGGAUAACAGUUAGAAAUGACUGCUAAUACCGCAUAAGCGCACAGUACCGCAUGGUACAGUGUGAAAAACUACCGGUGGUGUGAGAUGGAUCCGCGUCUGAUUAGCCAGUUGGCGGGGUAACGGCCCACCAAAGCGACGAUCAGUAGCCGACCUGAGAGGGUGACCGGCCACAUUGGGACUGAGACACGGCCCAA
rnacentral:rRNA from 1 species